rnacentral:rRNA from 1 species
UACGGAGGGUGAAAGCGUUAGUCGGAAUUACUGGGCGUAAAGGGUGCGUAGGCGGAGAUGUAAGUUAGAUGUGAAAUACCGUUGCUCAACAACGGCCGUGCAUCUAAAACUGCGUUUCUAGAGGGAUAGCGGAGAAAACGGAAUUCCACGUGUAGCGGUGAAAUGCGUAGAUAUGUGGAAGAACACCUGUGGCGAAAGCGGUUUUCUAGCUUGACCCUGACGCUGAGGCACGAAAGCAAGGGGAGAAAACAGG